UUUAUGGAGAGUUUGAUCCUGGCUCAGGAUGAACGCUGGCGGCGUGCCUAAUACAUGCAAGUCGAGCGAACAGAUAAGGAGCUUGCUCCUUUGACGUUAGCGGCGGACGGGUGAGUAACACGUGGGUAACCUACCUAUAAGACUGGAAUAACUCCGGGAAACCGGGGCUAAUGCCGGAUAACAUGUUGAACCGCAUGGUUCUACAGUGAAAGACGGUCUUGCUGUCACUUAUAGAUGGACCCGCGCCGUAUUAGCUAGUUGGUGGGGUAACGGCCUACCAAGGCGACGAUACGUAGCCGACCUGAGAGGGUGAUCGGCCACACUGGAACUGAGACACGGUCCAGACUCCUACGGGAGGCAGCAGUAGGGAAUCUUCCGCAAUGGGCGAAAGCCUGACGGAGCAACGCCGCGUGAGUGAUGAAGGUCUUCGGAUCGUAAAGCUCUGUUGUUAGGGAAGAACAAAUGUGUAAGUAACUGUGCACAUCUUGACGGUACCUAACCAGAAAGCCACGGCUAACUACGUGCCAGCAGCCGCGGUAAUA
rnacentral:rRNA from 1 species